rnacentral:rRNA from 1 species
AGAGUUUGAUCAUGGCUCAGAUUGAACGCUGGCGGCAGGCCUAACACAUGCAAGUCGAGCGGUAGAGAGAAGCUUGCUUCUCUUGAGAGCGGCGGACGGGUGAGUAAUGCCUAGGAAUCUGCCUGGUAGUGGGGGAUAACGCUCGGAAACGGACGCUAAUACCGCAUACGUCCUACGGGAGAAAGCAGGGGACCUUCGGGCCUUGCGCUAUCAGAUGAGCCUAGGUCGGAUUAGCUAGUUGGUGAGGUAAUGGCUCACCAAGGCGACGAUCCGUAACUGGUCUGAGAGGAUGAUCAGUCACACUGGAACUGAGACACGGUCCAGACUCCUACGGGAGGCAGCAGUGGGGAAUAUUGGACAAUGGGCGAAAGCCUGAUCCAGCCAUGCCGCGUGUGUGAAGAAGGUCUUCGGAUUGUAAAGCACUUUAAGUUGGGAGGAAGGGCAUUAACCUAAUACGUUAGUGUUUUGACGUUACCGACAGAAUAAGCACCGGCUAACUCUGUGCCAGCAGCCGCGGUAAUACAGAGGGUGCAAGCGUUAAUCGGAAUUACUGGGCGUAAAGCGCGCGUAGGUGGUUCGUUAAGUUGGAUGUGAAAUCCCCGGGCUCAACCUGGGAACUGCAUUCAAAACUGACGAGCUAGAGUAUGGUAGAGGGUGGUGGAAUUACCUGUGUAGCGGUGAAAUGCGUAGAUAUAGGAAGGAACACCAGUGGCGAAGGCGACCACCUGGACUGAUACUGACACUGAGGUGCGAAAGCGUGGGGAGCAAACAGGAUUAGAUACCCUGGUAGUCCACGCCGUAAACGAUGUCAACUAGCCGUUGGGAGCCUUGAGCUCUUAGCGGCGCAGCUAACGCAUUAAGUUGACCGCCUGGGGAGUACGGCCGCAAGGUUAAAACUCAAAGGAAUUGACGGGGACCCGCACAAGCGGUGGAUGAUGUGGUUUAAUUCGAUGCAACGCGAAAAACCUUACCUACCCUUGACAUGUCUAGAAGUUACCAGAGAUGGUUUCGUGCUCGAAAGAGAACUAGAACACAGGUGCUGCAUGGCCGUCGUCAGCUCGUGUCGUGAGAUGUUGGGUUAAGUCCCGCAACGAGCGCAACCCUUGUCAUUAGUUGCUACGAAAGGGCACUCUAAUGAGACUGCCGGUGACAAACCGGAGGAAGGUGGGGAUGACGUCAGGUCAUCAUGGCCCUUAUGGGUAGGGCUACACACGUCACACAAUGGCCGGGACAGAGGGCUGCCAACCCGCGAGGGGGAGCUAAUCCCAGAAACCCGGUCGUAGUCCGGAUCGCAGUCUGCAACUCGACUGCGUGAAGUCGGAAUCGCUAGUAAUCGCGGAUCAGCUUGCCGCGGUGAAUACGUUCCCGGGUCUUGUACACACCGCCCGUCACACCAUGGGAGCGGGUUCUGCCAGAAGUAGUUAGCCUAACCGCAAGGAGGGCGAUUACCACGGCAGGGUUCGUGACUGGGGUGAAGUCGUAACAAGGUA